GGCGGGAUAGCUCAGUUGGUAGAGCACACGACUGAAAAUCGUGGUGUCCCCAGUUCGAGUCUGGGUCCCGCCA
rnacentral:tRNA from 2 species